UGGGGAAUUUUGGACAAUGGGCGAAAGCCUGAUCCAGCAAUGCCGCGUGUGUGAAGAAGGCCUUCGGGUUGUAAAGCACUUUUGUCCGGAAAGAAAUCCUUGGCUCUAAUACAGUCGGGGGAUGACGGUACCGGAAGAAUAAGCACCGGCUAACUACGUGCCAGCAGCCGCGGUAAUACGUAGGGUGCAAGCGUUAAUCGGAAUUACUGGGCGUAAAGCGUGCGCAGGGCGGUUUGCUAAGACCGAUGUGAAAUCCCCGGGCUCAACCUGGGAACUGCAUUGGUGACUGGCAGGCUAGAGUAUGGCAGAGGGGGGUAGAAUUCCACGUGUAGCAGUGAAAUGCGUAGAGAUGUGGAGGAAUACCGAUGGCGAAGGCAGCCCCCUGGGCCAAUACUGACGCUCAUGCACGAAAGCGUGGGGAGCAAACAGGAUUAGAUACCCUGGUAGUCCACGCCCUAAACGAUGUCGACUAGUUGUUGGGGACUUCAUUUCCUUAGUAACGUAGCUAACGCGUGAAGUUGACCGCCUGGGGAGUACGGUCGCAAGAUU
rnacentral:rRNA from 1 species